rnacentral:lncRNA from 1 species
GUGAAAUUUUUGAGUUGCUUCUAACCAGUAGAAUACAGCAGAGGUGAUGAGAGGUCACUAACAUGAUUAGGCUAAACAAAACUAAGAUGUCUGUCUUAGACUCGAUUGACUUGCAUAUUUUGAUGAAGCAAACAUCCAGAUUAGAAAGAUGGCCUGUGUGGGCCAGCUGCAGUGGCUGAUGCCUAUAAUCCCAGCACUUUGGGAAGCCAAGGCAGGUGGAUCACCUGAGAUCAGGAGUUUGAGACCAGCCUGACUAACAUGGAAAAACCCUGUCUCUAUUAAAAAUACAAAAUUAGCCAGGCAUGGUGGUGCAUGCCUAUAAUCCUAGCUACUUAGGAAGCUGAGGUAGGAGAAUUGCCUGAACCCGGGAGGCGGAGGUUGCGGUGAGCCGAGAUCGUGCCAUUGCACUACAGCUUGGGAAACAAGAGUGAAACUCCAUCUCACAAAAAAGAAAAAAAGAAAAAAAAGAAAGGUGGCCUGUGCGGAAAAAAAUUGAGGGAAUUUCCAGCCAACAACCAUCUGGGAACUGAAGUUGCAGUCGCCUCCAGAACUGUUUUCUUUUCAUUUCAUUUCAUUUCUUUUCUUUAUAAUUUAUCCAGUCUGUGGUAUUCUCUUACAGCAGUGUU